GCCCCGUUCGUCUAGUGGCCCAGGACAGCGCCCUCUCACGGCGCAGACAGGGGUUCGACUCCCCUACGGGGUAC
rnacentral:tRNA from 1 species